GUUCCAGUUCCGGUCCCCUAGUCAGGUCCGGCGGCCUGCACACGCCAAGCACGCUGGGAGUAGCCAUGGCGGAUAAUCCCGUUUUGGAGCUGUUGCUGCGGCGGCUGGAGGUAGCUGAUGGCGGUCUGGACAGCGCGGAGUUGGCUACGCAGCUGGGUGUGGAGCACCAGGCGGUGGUGGGCGCAGUGAAGAGCCUUCAAGCUCUGGGUGAGGUCAUUGAGGCUGAGCUUCGUUCUACCAAGUGCUGGGAGCUGACUACUGAGGGUGAGGAGAUUGCCCGGGAGGGCAGCCAUGAGGCCCGUGUGUUUAGAAGCAUCCCUCUCGAGGGCCUGGUGCAGAGUGAGCUCAUGCACCUGCCCAGCGGCAAGGUGGGCUUCAGCAAGGCCAUGUCCAACAAGUGGAUCCGAGUGGACAAGAGUGCCGCCGACGGGCCCCGGGUGUUCCGAGUGGUGGACAGUAUAGAGGAUGAAGUGCAGAAGCGGUUGCAGCUGGUCCAGGCAGGCCAGGCUGAGAAGCUGGCUGAAAAGGAACGGAAUGAGCUCAGGAAGAGGAAGCUGCUGACGGAAGUGAUCCUGAAAACCUACUGGGUGAGCAAGGGCAAGGCCUUCAGCACAAGCGUGUCUAAGCAGGAGGCAGAGCUGAGCCCAGAGAUGAUCUCCAGUGGCUCUUGGAGGGACCGACCUUUCAAACCCUACAACUUCUCUGCCCGUGGUGUGCUCCCAGAUAGUGGCCACCUGCACCCCUUGCUCAAGGUCCGCUCUCAGUUCCGACAAAUCUUCUUGGAGAUGGGGUUCACUGAGAUGCCUACGGACAAUUUCAUUGAGAGCUCCUUCUGGAACUUUGAUGCACUCUUUCAGCCUCAGCAGCACCCAGCACGUGACCAACAUGAUACUUUCUUCCUGCGAGACCCAGCUGAGGCCCUGCAGCUUCCAAUGGGCUAUGUCCAGCGCGUGAAACGGACCCACUCCCAGGGUGGCUACGGCUCACAGGGCUACAAGUAUACCUGGAAGCUGGAAGAGGCCCGGAAAAACCUGCUUCGCACACACACCACAGCAGCCAGCGCCCGCGCCCUCUACCAGUUAGCCCAGAAGGCGUGGCCUGGCCAUCAUUCCUCCUCCUCAGAAGCCGUUUACACCAGCCAAGUACUUCUCUAUUGAUCGUGUGUUUCGGAAUGAGACGCUGGACGCCACGCACCUGGCGGAGUUCCACCAGAUUGAGGGUGUAAUAGCAGACCAUGGUCUCACCCUAGGCCACCUCAUGGGUGUGCUGAGGGAGUUCUUCACCAAGCUGGGAAUCACGCAGUUGCGCUUCAAACCAGCCUACAACCCCUACACAGAGCCCAGCAUGGAAGUGUUCAGCUACCACCAAGGUCUAAAGAAGUGGGUUGAAGUUGGCAACUCUGGGGUCUUCCGCCCUGAGAUGCUCCUGCCUAUGGGGCUCCCUGAGAAUGUGUCUGUCAUUGCUUGGGGUCUCUCCCUGGAACGCCCAACAAUGAUCAAAUAUGGCAUCAAUAACAUCCGAGAACUGGUGGGCCACAAGGUGAACCUGCAGAUGGUAUACGACAGCCCUGUGUGCCGACUGGAUAUUGAGCCCAGGUCCUCAAAGACACAGGAGGCUGCAUGAUAUAGGCUGUUCCAGAGAUCCCUGUCUAGUCCCUGUGCAUCUCUUGGCAGUGACCUACUAUUUAUGAGGCCUCUGUGAGGCCAGCUCACUCCCCCUGCCUCUCCCACCCUGGGGGCAGGGUUCUAAGUAUGGGGAGUUCUUAUGCUGGCUUUUAGUGGUGUGUGUAGUUUGCUUGUAAGGGUGGGUUUGGCCCUGCAGGCCAGCUGUUUUAAUAAAGUGGGCACAUUCCCUCAUUUGGUGCCUUUUGUUAGGA